GAAAUGCGAUAAGUAAUGUGAAUUGCAGAUUUUCAGUGAAUCAUCGAAUCUUUGAACGCACCUUGCGCCCCUUGGUAUUCCGAGGGGCAUGCCUGUUUGAGUGUCAUUAAAUUCUCAACUCCAUUUGAUUUGUUUCAAACCUGGAGCUUGGACUUGGAGUGUGCUGGCGUUGACCGUCGGCUCCUCUCAAAUGCAUCGGCGGAAUUGAACCUUUGACUUCCGAACGUCAGUGUGAUAAUUAACGUUGCGCUGUCGACCGGGGUCGGAGUCCGCUUACAAUCGUCCUCGGACAACUCAUCAAAUUUGACCUCAAAUCAGGUAGGACUACCCGCUGAACUUAA
rnacentral:misc_RNA from 1 species